rnacentral:rRNA from 1 species
GACGAACGCUGGCGGCGUGCUUAACACAUGCAAGUCGAACGGAAAGGCCCUGCUUUUGUGGGGUGCUCGAGUGGCGAACGGGUGAGUAACACGUGAGUAACCUGCCCUUGACUUUGGGAUAACUUCAGGAAACUGGGGCUAAUACCGGAUAGGAGCUCCUGCUGCAUGGUGGGGGUUGGAAAGUUUCGGCGGUUGGGGAUGGACUCGCGGCUUAUCAGCUUGUUGGUGGGGUAGUGGCUUACCAAGGCUUUGACGGGUAGCCGGCCUGAGAGGGUGACCGGCCACAUUGGGACUGAGAGACGGCCCAGACUACUACGGGAGGCAGCAGUGGGGAAUAUUGCACAAUGGGCGGAAGCCUGAUGCAGCAACGCCGCGUGCGGGAUGACGGCCUUCGGGUUGUAAACCGCUUUCGCCUGUGACGAAGCGUGAGUGACGGUAAUGGGUAAAGAAGCACCGGCUAACUACGUG